rnacentral:rRNA from 1 species
AACGUAGGACACGAGCGUUAUCCGGAGUUACUGGGCGUAAAGGGCGUGCAGGCGGUCACAUAAGUCUGAUGUGAAAGCGCCCGGCUUAACCGGGCGAGGACAUUGGAGACUGUGUAACUAGAGGCAGAUAGAGGGGUGUAGAAUUCCGGGUGUAGUGGUGAAAUGCGUAGAGAUCCGGAGGAAUACCAGAGGCGAAGGCGGCACCCUGGGUCUGACCUGACGCUGAGACGCGACAGCAUGGGGAGCGAACGGG